ensembl:lncRNA LINC02350 long intergenic non-protein coding RNA 2350
GUUGUCUUGGGGGCAGCGCCAGCCACCAGAGCCCGAGUCAGCGCGGCCAGGACUCUGCAGGGGCAGGUAGCGACCCUUAGAGACGCAACGUGGCGCAGCGGACUCGGCUGCGUGGGGCAAGGGCCGGGGCCGGACACAGGAGCAGCGGGGAUGCCGGGUGCGCUCCGAGGGUGUGGCCCCCGGGCUGUGCGGGGCUCAGAGCUGCUUGCUGGGCGCGGUGCCCGACAAAGUUAUCCUGGAUCCUAUCUUUGGUACCAAUGUGACCCAUCCUGAGUGAAGG